AGAUGGCGACCGGCGCACGGGUGAGUAACACGUAUCCAACCUGCCGAUAACUCGGGGAUAGCCUUUCGAAAGAAAGAUUAAUACCCGAUGGUAUAAUAAAGCCGCAUGGUUUAAUUAUUAAAGAAUUUCGGUUAUCGAUGGGGAUGCGUUCCAUUAGGCAGUUGGUGAGGUAACGGCUCACCAAACCUUCGAUGGAUAGGGGUUCUGAGAGGAAGGCCCCCCACAUUGGAACUGAGACACGGUCCAA
rnacentral:rRNA from 1 species